GCGGCCGUAGUUCAAUGGUCAGAACACCGGGUUGUGGUCCCGGGGACGGGGGUUCAAUUCCCCUCGGCCGCCCCA
rnacentral:tRNA from 1 species